AAAUAUCUUGUCCUUUGGAAUUAAGUGGUUUAAAGGGGAAUAAGGUUAGGAAGAGUCAGUAUACUCAUACAAACAAAAAUAAAAUUAAGAGUGCAAGUGUGAGAAGGAGGAAAAGCACGUGGGAAAGAAGGGAAGGAAGAAACUCGAUCUCAAAUCUUAGGGAUUCGCUACUAAUCAAGUAAGGGGUUUAACCUUUCGUUUAAGUUUAUUAAAUUAUAGAUAGUAUGAGUGUAGUCUUUUACUUGUUCUUCUUUAUUUUCUCUUCCAUUUAUGUUGUGUUGUUGUUGUUAAGCCUAUUUAAAUUCAAAUUCUUGAUCGAUGAUGGUGUUGUUAUUAUUUGUUUAUGCUUUAUCAAAUUGAAUUCUUGUCUUAUUAUGUAGGUGAAUUUGUUUAACGUGGAGUUUGGUGAUUAGUUUCAAUUUGAUUUGUUCCUGUUUAUGAUUAAUGAUUUUAGGGUCCUAUUGGGUUAUUGUUAAUUCAUGAAGUUGCUCCUUUUAGUGCUAAAAGAUAUAAAGAAACUAAAAACAUGAUUUCAACCCUUAAAUAGCCAAGUUAAACCUUUAAGACGUUUCAAGAAUUAUAAACAGUUUCUAAAUACCUUGGGGAUCUUUCUGAGACGAAAAACACAUCAACCCGAAGCCUUGAACAACCAUCAAUGGAGUUUUAUUUUUUUCAAAACCGUAUGAACCUUUGUCAUCGUUAAAAUGUUCGUUUCGAUUAUCUAAUCUUAAAAAUAAUACCGGUAAUCCUUUCUAAAUUGAAUGACGAUCAAAACGGUAUAAAUAACGUCGAGUUUCGUUGAGUAUCGAGGGAGAUAUGGACGGGUCGGGUAACCGGGUCGCAUGACCCGUUUUGCAGGAAUCCGGGUUAGGAAGAUGAUGAACAGUAGAUCCAGGCCACGCCCACUCUCACCCACGGCGAGUGGAGGCGCGUGAGGUAUCUAGGGAACUUCAAUUGUUUUCGUUCUUUUCACAGUAAAAUAGUAAAUAAUUUUACGAGAAUUUUGGUACUUGUUUGGUAAAUUUUGGACACUCGUAGUCGUAGCUAUUUUUAAAUAAUUAUUUGGAGCAAAACUGUGAUUAAAAAUAUUAUAAUUUCGUGAAAAUUUCCUAAACUUUUAUGUACAGUAUUAUAAACAUUUUAGAACCUGUUGGUGUAACUCACUCUCCUCGGUUUUAUAUUCUCUUAAGAAUUUGAAAUUAUUUCACAAUAUUUAUUAAUUAAAUUGAUGUAAAACUGUUAUUGAUGUCGAUCCUACAUGAUAUAAAACUGUUGGUGUUGAUCCUACGUGAUAUAAAACUGUUGGUGUAGUAUGUUAUAAUUGGUGUAGUAUAUUGGUGUAGUAUAUUAUAAUUGGUGUAGUAUAUUGGUGUAAUAUUGGAGUAGUAAUGACGUAACAAAGAUGUCUUAUUUCUUUGAGUUAAACUUAUUUCGACUAAUGAGUUGGAUUAUUUUGUUUGAUGACUUGUUUUUUUUUAUUAUUAAGUUGUGUAGUUGUUGUAUUUGGAUAAUUGUGAUUGUUUGUGUAUUUGACCGCCCAAAAGCAAUAUUAUGUUUUGACUAUGUCUUGUACUAUUUUGAAUUUGGUUAUCUUUUGUGAUUGUGUUACUCACCCUUGUUGCCCCUUCUGGUUUGACCCUACGAUGUGCAAUCGUAGAUUUUCAGGUAACAAUGAUGCUUAGCUGAGAGUCCGGAGAUGGCAUUAGGAGCUGUCUUCCUUUCCCGUUUUUAAUAAAUUGAGUCGCUCUGCUAGGAAGUCCUAUGGGGGAACUCUAAGUUUUAAUUCAGUUGUUUUAUUGUUUUAAAGAUUUUUAAUUGAACCGUGAUGUCUAUUUCUAAAACCUUGUUAAUUUGAAUUUUUCAGACAAUAUUAAUUUCCUUAUGAGUUUAUUUCCGC
rnacentral:lncRNA from 1 species